rnacentral:rRNA from 1 species
UAUAUUAAAGUUGUUGCGGUUAAAAAGCUCGUAGUUGGAUUUCUGUCGAGGAUGGCCGGUCCGCACUUUGUGCGUGCAUCUGGUUCAGCCUUGGCAUCCUCCUGGGGAACGUAUCUGCGCUUAAUUGCGUGGUGCGGUAUCCAGGACUUUUACUUUGAGGAAAUUAGAGUGUUCACGGCAGGCAAACGCCUUGAAUACAUUAGCAUGGAAUAAUAAUAUAGGACCUUGGUCCCAUUUUGUUGGUUUCUGGAACUGAGGUAAUGAUUAAUAGGGAUAAUUGGGGGCAUUCGUAUUAACGUGUCAGAGGUGGAAUUCUUGGAUUACGUUACGACGAACUACUGCGAAAGCAUUUGCCAAGGAUGUUUUCAUUGAUCAAGAACGAAAGUUCGGGGAUCGAAGAUGAUUAGAUACCAUCGUAGUCCGAACCAUAAACUAUGCCAACUAGAGAUGGGCGAUCGUUAUUUUAUUGACUUCGUCCGCACCUUAUGAGAAAUCAAAGUCUUUGGGUUCCGGGGGGAGUAUGGUCGCAAGGCUGAAACUUAAAGGAAUU